rnacentral:lncRNA from 1 species
AUGACUGGACGCAUCUUAGUGCCUUGGCAAGCAGAGGCGUUCAAGUUGGGAAGACCUGAAGGAGAAGCAAUGAUACGUGCUGCAGAGGGAGCUGUGGCUGUGACACCACCGUUUGUUGAUCGGGAUUGUUUUCUGUGUGGAGGCUUAAUGAUAGUGUUUUUUUCUCAACCUCCACUGCAAAUGUUAAUGUUCAUCUUGUGCCAAUGCAGUUACUUUAUUACAACGGUAAACUAUUACCUAAACUUAAGCAAUGCAACGGGGAAAGGAGCCCACAGCACCAAAGGGGCAGCUGUGCUGGGAUGGUGCUGGUGCGCUGCGGGUGUCUGCAGGGGCAUGGGGGUGGCACCACGGGGAUGUGGGCAGCAGGGGACGUCCUGGGGAGGCUCCUGGGGGGGGGUUUCUGAAGGCACACAGUGCUCAGGGGUGGCGUUUCAAGUAUCCACAGCACAAAUGCCUGCCUUUUACAGAAGGUUGUAGGCUUGCAGCUGUGGCUGUGUGGAGCAGGGGUCUCUGUGGUGUCAGAGGCCCAGACCAUGGGAUGCUUUGUGCUUAUAACCACUGAGAACUGAACUGGGGCACAUGGUGCACCCAGCUGUGGUGCAGGCACCCAGGGAGUUUAUCACCUCCGGGGGGGGGGGGGGGGGUGUUAGCCUCAUCCUGCUCUGGCGGCAUCAGACACAGAAGCCAGUGCCACAGCUUGCCCUUGGCCGGUCCCAUCGUGGCUCUGACAUGCUGACUGCUGCUGCUCCUGGGGCAUGGGCUGACCCCCGAGCCCGGGCUUGCAGACCUGCUGAAAGCUCUACGGUAAACGCCUGCUCUGCCCGUGCUCUGCAGAGCUCGGGGUGUCCCUGGCACCGAGCUGGUGGCCCCCACCUCCCCGUGGACAAGGGGUGCUGGAGGCUGGGGACACCACAGCACGUCUUGUGAGAUGUUAAAAGACCCAAAUGAAAGACGAAGCAUGUUAGAGCAUCCAAAAUCAUCCAGCCAGUACCCUGUCUCCAGCAGGAACUGGGCAAAUACUGAGUGCCCCCUGCCUGCAAACAAGCCUCCCGGUUUCUAGUAAUUAGCAGAUUAGUGACCUCCUGAGCCAGAAGUUGCACUGGGACUGAGGUGCUUAAUAGCCACAGAUAGGUUUCUUCUCUCUGAAUUAAUUGAAUCCCUUUUUGAACCCAUUUAUCCUUCUGGCUGUCAUGCCUCUUACAGUUUAAUUACACAGUGCCUGAUGAUUUAACUGGGUGCCUCGUUCCUGUUGUACCGAGCAUAAGAAACAGCCAUUUAUAGUCUCACCUUCUUCACAUCAUUUAUCCAAAAAUCUCACUGCAGGUUUCUACAACAUCUGAUGCUUAUUCAUGCCUUGAUUUCUGAAGACAUUGGGCAGGAAUCUAGUUUCUUUCUCUUAAUGGUUUUAUUAGUGCAUAAAGUGGGGGGGGAAUGAGUUCUGAACAUGUUCCAAAAGACCUAUAUCUGGAAGGUAAAC